CCUUUCUGGUUAAACUUUUGCUACUUCUAUUCGAGCUGUCCUUGACAGCACGUUGUCGUUAUCAACACUCGCUUGGCUAAUCCACACGAGGUCGAUAUCGUGCCAACACCCCACCCCGUAAAUCCUUAGUGAAGCAGGAUUUGCUUAAAAUAAGCACGAUAUAAAAAUCUCCUGCUUUCGUUAAGGCCUUCAAAUACCUCAUAAGGUGUGCUUUGUGCCUUUCGUAUUGCUCAUAUAUAGGAUGACGCUUACGCUUCCCUACAUUCAACCUGUCGAUCAACCUUCGUCGAUCUGGACAUGAUCCAACGUUUUGCAGCUUUUCUCUACCACUUGCUUGUGGGAUACAAAAACGUAGAUCAAUUCGACCUGGGGUACACUUGUCUCGCAACGCGCAUGCUGUAAUCUUAUUUGUGAUCGUGUCGGUUUUCACAGCCGAUACUGCAAGCUGUCCAUCUCAAUCUGUUUCUCUCCGUCGUGUGCUUGGCGAUGCUGUCGAUCUUGGGUGGUGCCAUCAAUUCGGUGGGAUGUGUUCCGGCCAAAAACUUCAACUCCCCUUUUAGGGAAGGCAGAUAAAUUUGGCGAUAUCGCGGAGAUGCGGCAGCAGACAAAACGAGUUUGUCCACACUCGUUACAAAAAACAGCUAAGUUUGCUGCUUCACGAACAAUAUUUCACCAAAAUAAUCCAUAACUUUGCUCACUUUCAGGGACUGUCGAUUCUACCGUUCCUGAAAGGGGAGUCAAGGUUAACGAUCGGUACACAACAAACCGAUCCGAUAGCAACACGACAGAUGAGUGUUGGCACGAUAUCGAUCGCGUGUGAUCGGACAGGGAACAGUAUUAUUUACAAACAUCAAGCUGACUUGACAACUCGAUCAAAUACCCAAAAUACGCGGCAGAUGGCGUACAAGAUUCACAAAGAGAGAUAACACGAUUAGAUUGUGCGACAACCAGAACUCCGAAAUAUGGGCCAAUUCGCCAUCGCGAAACGCAGUUAGUAGCAAAAGUUAAGCUAGAAAGGACAGAAGAAUUUUUAAACUGAUCGGUGAUAAAUUUAUACGCGAGCGACAGUUGUAAAAACGUUUGUGAAAAGUUACCCAAAAUAGACAGAUUGCUACAUCCGUAGCAACAUACAUAAAAAAAGUAAUUUUCGCAAAAUUCAAUAAUGCAGCAUCCAAACUUAAAAUAAACAACACAUUUGGAAAAAAAUGCGAUAAUAUAUGCAAAAUUGGUUAAAUCCACGAACAAAAUAAAUUUUCGAUCGUGCGCACCUUUGUGGAUUUAAUUUGAUUACUACGGAUCUUAAGCUCUGUAACUUGUAUUGUUUAUAUUUUUUUUAUUACAUGAAUAAAUUUAUUUAUUCAUGUAAUAAAAAGUUUGACAUGAAUAAAUUGUCGUGAUUAUAAACC